rnacentral:rRNA from 1 species
CCUACGGGUGGCAGCAGUGGGGAAUUUUGCGCAAUGGGGGAAACCCUGACGCAGCGACGCCGCGUGAUCGAUGAAGCCCUUCGGGGUGUAAAGAUCUGUCAGUGGGGACGAAACCUGACGGUACCCACAGAGAAAGCACCGGCUAACUCCGUACCAGCAGCCGCGGUAAUACGGGGGGGGCAAGCGUAGUCCGGAAUGAUUGGGCGUAAAGGGGUCGUAGGUGGCAGGUUAAGUCUGUGGUGAAAGGCGGAGGCUCAACUUCCGUAUGGCAGUGGAUACUGGCGAGCUUGAGUGCGGUAGAGGUAAAGGGAAUUCCUGGUGUAGCGGUGAAAUGCGUAGAUAUCAGGAGGAACAUCGGUGGCGAAGGCGCUUUACUGGGCCGUAAUUGACACUGAGGAACGAAAGCCGGGGUAGCAAACGGGAUUAGAUACCCCAGUAGUC